CCUACGUGCGGCAGCAGUGGGGAAUAUUGGUCAAUGGGCGCAAGCCUGACCCAGCAACGCCGCGUGAAGGAAGACGGCUUUCUGGUUGUAAACUUCUUUUCUCAGGAGCGAAACACGUGACGGUACCUUAUGACUAAGCCUCCGCUAACUACUUGCCAGCAGCAGCGGUAAUACGUCGGUGGCAAGCGUUAUCCGGAUUUACUGGGUGUAAAGGGCGUGUAGGCGGGACGGUAAGUCAGAUGUGAAAACUACGGGCUCAACCUGGGGAGUGCAUUUGAAACUGUAGUUCUUGAGUACUGGUGAGGCAGACGGAAUGCCUAGUGUAGCGGUGAAAUGCGUAGAUAUUAGGAGGAACACCAGUGGCGAAGGCAGUCUGCUGGACAGUAACUGACGCUGAGGCGCGAAAGCGUGGGGAGCAAACAGGAUUAGAUACCCUUGUAGUC
rnacentral:rRNA from 1 species